UUUGUGUUGAAAAAGUAUACCACAUUCUGUAUAGUUUACAAAAAGCACUGGUUCUUCUCUUCACAGGCAACAAAAUUUUGCAAACCACUCAUGUCAAAAUAUUUUUUGUUUUAUUUUUGUCAGCCCCACUUCCAGUCUCACCUGCCUUUUCCCAUUAUCUUUUGACUUUGUGUCUGUGGAUGCAGCACUACAACAUUUGCUUUGAACAAAAUAAGAUUUAAUACUAGAGAUGUCACAAAACCAGGAAGUACCUCAAAUUCUCAGAACAAAAACAACUGAAGUUCUGCAAUUUACCUCUAUACUAAAUUUAGUACAAUACUAAGUUGCUUCAAAAAUGUAUUUAAAAUACAAAAUUCUAUUUAAAAAAAAAUGCUACAUACACACAUAACAUUAUAAGUUGACAGAUGGUCCUGUAAUGACGUUAGCUACAAACGAUGUGAGUGUCACCCAUUACAAGAAAAUGGAUACUAGAUUGCAAGCUGUCACCUCAUCCAUUCCACUAAAAGCUGCUCAAAAGAAUUUCCAAAGCUUCCUCCACGAUUCAAAAGGAUGUUCCACACAGUUCCUCAAUUUUGGGCCCAACAGAUGAUCUACAAUACUGUCAUUCUUCAAGAGAACAUGCACAACCUAAAUUCCACUGCGUGACACACAAAUGGGGUUUAAUCAGAGCCCUAGAGAUAGUAAGAGUUGCGACACUCAUGCUCUCGCAGCGGGGCGGUCACGUGGUUCAUGUAAGCCUGAGUAGUUCCAAACAGGCAGCGCUGUCAUUUCCUUCUAUGGGACUGAGAGCGGUAAAAAAGGAAUAAAAUCACACCUCCAAGUACUUGAUUAUUAAUUCAUUGGAGUAUGUAUGUAAAUGUCAGUUUUACAUUUUGAGCCGUAAGGUGACAUAUAAAAGACACUUUUGGGGUUUUGGAGGGAAUGUUUCACAUUCGUGUUAGCAUGGAAAAUUGACUUUUACACAGAAAUGUAAGAUGAUUGAAGAUGUUAAUUUUUGCCCUGCUGAAUUAUUGUAUUUCCAGACAAUGUCUAUAUUUCUCUGAUUCACUUACCCGUAGUCUGGGAGUUAUUGAAAAGCAGAGUGACAACAGUCCACUCAGCAGAUAGUGUCCAGCCACUUCUGAUGAGGCAGGAGUUGACUCACUAUAACCAUUUUAAGACAUACACAAAAUAUAUAUUCAAGAAUAACAACUCAUUAUGCUUUGAUGAAUGAAAUAGUAUGUUUUACUGACAAUGAGAGAAACAACAACAUGUUAUUUUUUACAAUUAUUUUUGAAAUAAUAAAAAAAAUAAUCAAAUGACUUGUGUGUGGGGAGACAUCCUCUUCAUGUGUGUCCUGGACACUAAAAAGUAGAUGAAGUAAAAUAGGGAGAGAACAGAUUCAACACUUUGCACACCGGGUAGCGUAUUAUAAUGUUAUUAUAACUAAUUAUUAUUAAUUAGUACUCUUUGAUGAGGGUCUUCGUGUCUUCAGUGAGGGCUCUCGGGAUACUGGUGGAUAGAUAGAUACGAUAGAUAUUAAUAAAUAUAUUUGUUAAAUACUUACAAGUAUAAGUUUAUGCAUUAUAAAGGGUCUCAUAUAAAGAACGUAGUCUUGACAAUUAAAAAGAGGUAGCGAUGUAGCUAGGUAGCUUUCAAAGAAGAGCUAACAAGCACACGGCAAUGCCUGAAAGUCGGUCAUCUGCCAAUAUUCACAAAUACAGAUAAAUGUAUGCACCACAAAGGGCUUCUGAUAUAAUAUAGAGACGUUAAAAUUAAAAAGAGGUAGCGACUCAUCAACAAUUAAUCCGUCAAUAUAUCCCUGGAGAGAACUUCACAGCUAACAGCAGCAGUCGUGCUAAAAAAAAGUAGCAGAAAUUCGGUUGUCUGCCAAGAUAAAAAAAUAUAUAUAAUUACGCUGCACAAAUACAAAUAAAGCUCAGCAUAUGCAUCAUAAAGAGCCUCUGAUAAAAUAUAGGCAGUUGACAAUUCAAAAGAGGUAGGCAUUUCAUCAACUUACCUCCACAUAUACUCAACGACCUGCAGCGCAAAUGAACGGUGGCUAUCACUGUCGAAGCGGUGCUAGGAAAUAAACAAGCCUCCACAACCCGGAAGUAGACCGGAAGAAAGCGUACAACGGCACCCUAUGGGAGUGUCGCAACUCUUACUAUCUCUAGGGCUCUGGGUUUAAUAAUAAUCACAUACCUCUUUCAAGAUUUUCCAAAUGAAUACAAAGUCAUUCUGCUGGUUUGUCAAACUCUGGAAUCUGUAAUUACCAUUUUUCAGCCAUUCCUUUUCCACUGAUUGUGUGUGUGGAAAAAAUGCAGAAUUUAUUACUCUCCCAGAGAACAGUACCAUCAACACCACCCAGCGCAUCACCUGUUCCAGCUGCUGCCUUCAGGUAGAAGGUACAGGUCCAUAAGAGCCUGAAUCACCAGACUGGCCCACAGCCUAUAUCUUCAGGCAGUGAGGAUGCUAAACUGUUACCCUCCUCCUCUCUCUGCCUCAUCCAGAGACACUCACCAUACCCCACUGUUACAAUAGCUGUGAACUGGACUUUGCAUUGUCGCAUUAAUCAAACAUCACUCAAAUAACCUCUACGCUCCCUCUGUGUACUGCAGUACCACUGUUACUAUUACUACUUGUGCCUGCACUGAAUUAUCAAAGAGUCUAUUAAUGUGUGUUAAUCUUACACAGUGGUGUUUAUGGGACUGGGACAAGGAUCUUGCACCAUUUUUGCACUGUUUUAUAUCAUUGCUAUGCACCGUAUGAACUGCUCUGAACGAAAUCUCGCUGUUUAUUGACAAUGACAAAGAUUGAAUUGAAUUGAUGAAUGCAGAAGUUGUAGUAACAGAGUUUGGAUGGCAAAAUCUCUACACAGACCAUCACUGUUAGUGGCAUAUUGGAAUCAUCCAGGUCACAUUAUGAGCUAUUGCUACAUAAUUUUAACAAGCCAACAUUAGCCUUUGUGAAUGUAGGGUGUGGUGCAUUGGUACAAUUAAUUUUGCCUCGUUCACUAAAUGUAGGAUGCCAGUAAUUUCAGUCAGCUUGGUUUUUCUUCUGAUUUAUGUGUGUUACUGUUUUCUUCAUGAUGGGAAAUAAAAACAAAAACAACCUCCGAGCAGCAGCUUAUCUCAAUGAAAAUAUUUAUUGCGAUUGAUUAUCCAUUUUAAUGACAGUUAUCACCCUGCAUGUAAACAGUUCCACUUGUCACUAUUUUGAGAAAACACUGCACCAUCCUUUGCUUAGCCCUGCAUACAUCGACUGUGAUUAGGUUAAAGACAUAUUAACAAGCUAGAGUGUUUUUUUCUCCCUAAAGCAGAAUGAUAGUGUAGUGCAAACCAUUAUGUUCAACUGAAUGGGCUGAGAAGCAGGCAGCUCUCGCAGUUCACAACAAGCCACUUUAUAUUGUUGUUGUUUACAGUGUGUGCAUUCAUUUUCCAUCCUUGUAUAUGUCGUACAUUUUAAUAUUAUUAUACUCAUGUUUACUGAUGCUAUAAAAAUGUUGCUGCUGUAACCAUGUAAAUUUCCCCUGGCACGGGGAGCAAUAAUGGAUUAUCUUAUGACCUGUGCUUCCUAACUGGACAGACCAAUAUACCAAAAGUUUAAUUAAUUCGGUGUUAUUCUGUUAUGAUUAGGUGUUCCCUGAAUAUUUCUCAACAGUUUAGUUAUGUUAAGCUCAGUGUUUCCCCUACAUAAACUUUACUUGGGCGGCCCGCCCAAGUAGAUUGACACCCGCCCAAGAAGAUGAAAUUAAAAAAAAAACAAACGCGCGGUCAUAAUUACUGGCACUGCGUAGGGAAAACAGUCCACCUGUCUGUCUCUCACUGGGUUGUCAGGCGCGCACACACCAACACGCUCGCGCUCUCGUGUAUUCCACCAGCCCGACCCACCUUGUUAAGCGCUCAUUAGCUGGACACCACCUGCAGCGUUGCACAGCCCUGCUUGCUUCGAGUGUCUCAGAGGUAAGUAACUUUAAUACAUUUUCAUCCCCUAAAUUGACAUCGUUAAAUGUCUGAAAAGACGCACUGUUGUGUUUAACAGCAACGAUAUCUUAAAGGUAGCUGGCAGUCACUGACAGCGGGAGCCUCGAGCGUUAACGAGCAGGGAAGAAGGUGUUAGCCGUGGCGGCUAGCAUCCGUCGCUAGCAUUAGCUUCCCAGUUCACAACAACAGCGUUCCCAUUUGUUAUCUCUCCGGUUUGCGGCUCCAGCGGGUUAUGGUAAUGCUAGACUGGUUUUUGGAAAAGGCAUCUGUAAAGUAAGUCGACUUGGACACAUGGCCUUGCAAGAAAGUUCUGUAUUUCUUCAUUUAAAAAUACAUGCGACAGAACAAAUAAACAAACUCACUUUCCUAGUGAAAGUUUCCAGUCAUUGGGUAAUAAGGCAAUCACUGUUGCACUUAAUUUUGCUAUUAAAUAUUCAUAAAUAAAUAUUGUUGAGUGGGGAAAAGAAACUGUCUGUGAUUGCUAAACAGAUGACUUUUUAACAAUAAAAUCAGUGUUCUUGAAUACACUAAGUUAUUGUUGAUUAUAUACUAUUUUCUUCCUCAUACACUGACUUUUUGUUAUUGUACCACUGGUUUUGUUUCAGAGACUGACUGUGGCAUUUUCUUCUUCAAGACAUGCAGCCAAUUGAAAGCUAUUUCAAGCUUAAGAGACAGAGUGAAGAUGAAAGAAGUGAAACACCACAGGUGGGAUGCAAAGUUUUAUAUAAGGAAAACGUCCUACAAUGUGCUGUUGGGAAAACUUCAUUAAAAAUCAUUUUAUUAAAUUUAAUGUGAAAUCAGGGCUUUAAUUUAUAAUGACAUUUUCUAUUUUAUGUCAACUGCUUUCUAUCCUGGUUAGGACAAAAGCCAAGGAGCAAUCCUGGAACUGCUGGCCCGUGAGUACAAUGAAUGGGGUGACGUCUACCCCUGCCUGUCCCAACUUGCUGCUGCAGCCCUCCUCAUCCCAGUGGCAAGUGUAAAUUGUGAGAGAGAUUUCUCAGCAAUGAACAGGAUUAAAACUGAACUGAGGAACAGGCUGCAAGGGGAGCAUCUUGCUGCAUGCAUGCGCAUCAGCAUAAAUGGACCUGACCCCCAAUCCUUUCCAUACAGAAAGGCAUUGGAGAUCUUUUUUUUCAAAACAGAGAAAAAUACACUGCUCUGACAAAAACUGUCAGCUUUGCAAGUAGCUUUAAAUAGCUUUUUUUCCUUUUUCUUUUGGGUUCUGUUUGUGUUAAAGCAAGUCUGCAGCAGGCUUAAGUUGUAUCUAUGUGCAAUAAAUAACACAUGGUUCAUAAACCA